UACGUAGGGGGCAAGCGUUGUCCGGAAUUAUUGGGCGUAAAGAGCGUGUAGGCGGUCCGGUAAGUCAGCUGUGAAAGUCAAGGGCUCAACCCUUGAAUGCCGGUUGAUACUGUCGGGCUAGAGUCCGGAAGAGGCGAGUGGAAUUCCCGGUGUAGCGGUGAAAUGCGCAGAUAUCGGGAGGAACACCAAUGGCGAAGGCAGCUCGCUGGGACGGUACUGACGCUGAGGAGCGAAAGCCAGGGGAGCAAACGGG
rnacentral:rRNA from 1 species